UCUACAGGAUUUUACGCAGCAGCCACCCGCACAGGAACUUAUUGCACGGGCCUACAUGACUUCGAAUGGAAGUUCAGACAUAUUUUUCGCGGGCAGCCCAAACGUCACCUUGUUUUAUGCAUGGCAGCCGCAACAAGUUUAUACGGGCCACAAGAAAUGGAUUACUGGUAUAUCUUAGGAA